AAGAAAGAUCAGGGAGUUUGUCAAGAUUAGCAGUGAUUUGUCUUUUUCGGAAAACUGAAGAAAUGAAUCAGGAAUCCUGGAGAACAUUGGCAGAUCCGGCAUUCAGGGCUGUGUGCCCCUAGGCAAGAUAUGAUCCGGGGCUGGGCUGGUUUAGCCUGACAUGGAUUUGGAGGUGCUCGGGGGUAAAGCUCAUCCAAAGAGUGACAUUUAGACUCUGAGCCUGAAGAGUGGGCUUCACGAAUCCCGCUGGGCCUGGUGCCUGGGUGCUGCAUCCUGGGGAGACGAGGGUCUUGGCAUUCUUGAAGAUAUUCACAGCCACGGAGGGACGUGUUGGGGAGCCCAGCACCAGCCUGAAUUUGCUCAUCCUGAAGUCUUAAC
ensembl:lncRNA